GACGAACCGUGCGAACGUUAUUCGGAAUCACUGGGCUUAAAGCGCGUGUAGGCGGGUGGGAACGUCGGCCGCUGAAAUCCCCCGGCUCAACCGGGGGAAGGGGCGCCGAAACGGCCCGCCUGGAGGGACGUAGGGGGGAGCUGGAACUUCCGGUGGAGCGGUGAAAUGCGUUGAGAUCGGAAGGAACGCCCGUGGCGAAAGCGAGCUCCUGGACGUUUUCUGACGCUGAGACGCGAAAGCCAGGGGAGCGAACGGG
rnacentral:rRNA from 1 species